rnacentral:rRNA from 1 species
AGCUCCAAUAGCGUAUAUUAAAGUUGUUGCAGUUAAAAAGCUCGUAGUUGGAUUUCGGGGCGGCCUGGCUGGUCCGCCGCGAGGCGAGCACUGGUCAGCCGCCCUUCCUCUCGAAAGCCCCGACUGCUCUUCACUGCAGUGGUCGGGUAGUUCGGGACGUUUACUUUGAAAAAAUUAGAGUGUUCAAGGCAGGCUCUCGCCUGAAUACAUUAGCAUGGAAUAAUGGAAUAGGGCUGCGUGGCUUGCUUCGGCAGGUCCUCGUGUCCUAUUUUGUUGGUUUUCGGGACCGCAGUCAUGGUCAAGAGGGACAGUUGGGGGCAUUCGUAUUCAGUUGUCAGAGGUGAAAUUCUUGGAUUUACGGAAGACGAACAACUGCGAAAGCAUUUGCCAAGGAUGUUUU